rnacentral:misc_RNA from 1 species
GAUGAAGAACGUAGCGAAAUGCGAUAAGUAAUGUGAAUUGCAGAAUUCAGUGAAUCAUCGAAUGUUUGAACGCACAUUGCGCCCCUUGGUAUUCCGAGGGGCAUGCCCGUUCGAGCGUCAUUAUACCCCUCAAGCCUAGCUUGGUGUUGGGGCCUGCUGUUACCGGCAGCCCUUAAAAUCAGUGGCGGUGCCAUCUGGCUCUAAGCGUAGUAAUACUUCUCGCUACAGGGUCCCGGUGGAUGCUUGCCAUCAACCCCUAAUUUUCUAUGGUUGACCUCGGAUCGGGUAGGGAUACCCGCUGAACUUAAGCAUAUCAAUAAGCGGAGGA